GCCCUGGUGGCAUAGUGGUUAAGUGCUUUGGCUGCUAACCAAAAAGGCUGGUAGUUCAAAUCCACCAGGCG
rnacentral:tRNA from 1 species